rfam:Oryza glaberrima chromosome 6 Oglab06_0013_17, whole genome shotgun sequence.
AAUAAGUACAGUUUUACACGAUUCACGUUCAACGUUUGACCGUUCGUCUUAUUUGAAAAAAAAUUAUGAUUAGUAUUUUUAUUGCUAUUAGAUAAUAAAACAUGAAUAGUAUUUUAUGUGUGACUAAAUAUUUUUAAAUUUUUCAUAAAAUUUUUCAAAUAAGACGGAUGGUCAAACGUUGGGCACGGAUAUCUACGGCUGCACUUAUU